rnacentral:rRNA from 1 species
CGCGCAGGUGGUUUCUUAAGUCUGAUGUGAAAGCCCACGGCUCAACCGUGGAGGGUCAUUGGAAACCGGGAGACUUGAGUGCAGAAGAGGAUAGUGGAAUUCCAAGUGUAGCGGUGAAAUGCGUAGAGAUUUGGAGGAACACCAGUGGCGAAGGCGACUGUCUGGUCUGUAACUGACACUGAGGCGCGAAAGCGUGGGAGCAAACA